GUCUACGGCCAUGCUACCCUGAAUGUGCCCAGUCUUGUCUGAUCUCGGAAGCUAAGUAGGGUCGGGCCUGGUUAGUACUUGGAUGGGAGACCACCUUGGAAGACCAGGAGCUGUAGGCA
rnacentral:rRNA from 1 species